GACGAGUGGCGGACGGGUGAGUAAUGUCUGGGAAACUGCCUGAUGGAGGGGGAUAACUACUGGAAACGGUAGCUAAUACCGCAUAACGUCGCAAGACCAAAGAGGGGGACCUUCGGGCCUCUUGCCAUCGGAUGUGCCCAGAUGGGAUUAGCUAGUAGGUGGGGUAACGGCUCACCUAGGCGACGAUCCCUAGCUGGUCUGAGAGGAUGACCAGCCACACUGGAACUGAGACACGGUCCAGACUCCUACGGGAGGCAGCAGUGGGGAAUAUUGCACAAUGGGCGCAAGCCUGAUGCAGCCAUGCCGCGUGUAUGAAGAAGGCCUUCGGGUUGUAAAGUACUUUCAGCGGGGAGGAAGGGAGUAAAGUUAAUACCUUUGCUCAUUGACGUUACCCGCAGAAGAAGCACCGGCUAACUCCGUGCCAGCAGCCGCGGUAAUACGGAGGGUGCAAGCGUUAAUCGGAAUUACUGGGCGUAAAGCGCACGCAGGCGGUUUGUUAAGUCAGAUGUGAAAUCCCCGGGCUCAACCUGGGAACUGCAUCUGAUACUGGCAAGCUUGAGUCUCGUAGAGGGGGGUAGAAUUCCAGGUGUAGCGGUGAAAUGCGUAGAGAUCUGGAG
rnacentral:rRNA from 1 species